rnacentral:misc_RNA from 1 species
AUCUUUUUAUUUAUCAUUAGAUAAUUUUUUUUUUAUAGAGUGGGAUGUUUUAAAUAAAAGUUUGAACGCAAAACCUCGCGAAACGCAAGGUUCGCCAUAAUUUGUAAUGAUCCUUCCGCAGGUUCACCUACAGAAA